GACGAACGCUGGCGGCGUGCCUAAUACAUGCAAGUCGAACGAACAGACGAGAAGCUUGCUUGUUUCACGUUAGCCGCUGAGGUGUGAGUAACACGUGGAUACCCUACUUAUCUGACUGGUAUCACUUCGGGAAUCCGUAGCUAAUCCCGGAUGAUCUCUUGAUCCGCAUGGUUCAAUGGUGAAAGACGGUCUUGCUGUCUCGUAUCGCUGGAUCCGCGCUGCAUUAGCUAGUUGGUAAGGUAACAGCUUACCAAGGCAACGAUGCAUAGCCGACCUGAGAGGGUGAUCGGCCACACUGGAACUGAGACACGGUCCAGACUCCUACGGGAGGCAGCAGUAGGGAAUCUUCCGCAAUGGGCGAAAGUCUGACGGAGCAACGCCGCGUGAGUGAUGAAGGUCUUCGGAUCGUAAAGCUCUGUUAUAAGGGAAGAACGGAUGUGUAAGUAGAUGGUCCCAUCUUGACGGUAAUUAAUCAAGAAGCCACGGCUAACUACGUG
rnacentral:rRNA from 1 species